UUAAAUAAACACACUCUUCUUCUUCACCAAAUAGAAAAAAGAAAAAAAAACAAAAAACAAACAAUGAGAAAAAGUGUAACAGAGCAUUCUAAUGGCAUUUUGUUCAAAAAAAGAAAAAAAAGAAAAGCAUUCUAAUGGCGUAUUGAUUCUCCUCUCUCCAUCUGAGAGACUGAGACUAUCUCUCUCUCGUAUUCGUAUUGAUGCUGAUUUUUGAAGAGCAAAGAAGAUUCAGAGCAGAAUUAGGGUUUUUAUGAUUGAUGACCCCCCAAACAACAACGAACGACAUCGUCAAUGGGAAUGGUAUAAAAAAAAUCGUCUUCUUCCCAAUCGUUUCAUGUUAGAUUUGCCGUUUCUUCUUCUGGUUUGUUGUAACAACAUCUAGUCUCUCAUCUGAUUUCGGUCGUGCAAGUAAAGGUCUUGGGAGAUGCUUUGAACAAUCAAAAAAAAUCUGAUUCUAUUGUGAUUGAUAGGUCCGUGUUUGACUUAACACAAUACGCCGCCAACACAAGAGGAGGGAGGGGGAUUAAGGACACUUUUCACCGUCUCCAUAUAUCAACGAGAAUGCUAAUUAAAGAUCUGAUGAGGAUGGUGACCAAGAGUCUCCUCUUAUUUUUGGGAUUUUCCGGCUCUUUGGUGGUGUGUAGGUUUUACGGGAUCUUUGGCAACUUCUCUCGUCCAAACCCUGGGGGAGCUCACAGAGCCAUGAAUCAGUAUACCUGCUGCUGGUCAGAGAUGGAUUGAAGAAUGAAAAGAAAAAGACUCGUACUGCUUAAGUGAUCCUAUAAGCCCACUCUGAAUUCUGAGUCACUGUACGUGGGCUCCCAUCAUCUGCUCCAUGACAACAUUUGAAGCAUCAUAUGCGGAGAGCUGGUGAUGUCUUCUUUAAUUUGCUGAGGAGUCAAGAGAGAAGACCACAAAUCUAUGAUACUUUUAACCUUCUGGAUAGUGUUGGGGUUUUAACAAGAGGAGCCGAGAAUCAGUUUACCUGCUGCUGGUCAGAGAUAGAUUGAAGAAUGAAGAAGAAGACUCGUACUGCUUAAGGUCCCCAAGCUUUAUGAAGUGUUUGGUGCCUCCUAUUCUAACUGAGCCUGGGAAAGGUCAAGAACCACCUGUGGCCUAACGUUGAUUCUCAUAGCGGAGUGCUGCCGAACUAUUAUCUUCUAGCCGAAAAAAAGGAUAGAUACUACACUGCUUUUUGGCUGUCUCAAGGAGUCUCUUCAACAUACACAGACAUACUUUGGCGCUAUUAACAAUUCUCCUCUCUAAACCACCGGAGGAUUAUCCGGUUCUUUGGUGUGGGUUUUAUGGGUCUUUGGCAACCCAUGGUGUCGUCGACUACACCAAUUUUCAUGACAUGAAUUUAACAGUCAGCGUUUUUCUUGUCUCAGUGAGCUGUGCGUAUUAUUCUGUAGUAUUGAUGUUGUUGCACUCCACCUACAUGCUUGUGGGUCUCUCAUUCCGUUGGGUGUAGGGUUUAAAGAGGUGACGAUAUUUACAUGGCAAAGAUGCUACGCUUUAGGUGAGCAAGAUCUUAAAAAAAAAAUGGAUGUAACUCUGCUACAUUAUUUUGUCUCCUGAGGUCAUUUGUCGCCAGGCCACUAUAGAUAUAGGAACCAUUGGACAUGUUGCUCAUGGAAAGUCCACUGUUGUGAAAGCUAUAUCUGGUGUGCAGUCACCAGAGGCGCAUCCAUUGGACUCGCAUACAUCCAUAGACCAUGAGGUCCUUACUGCUGCACUUUCAAUGAAUAGACUCUUCAAUUCAGUGAGCGAAGAGAGAGUGAGCGACGAGAGAGAGAGAUAGAUUCUUUCUAGUGGCGGCGACAUGAAGAACAAGUCAAGAGGAGGUGUUGUGUGUUCGAUUUUGGACGAUGAUGAUUCACACUUAAGACUUUUUUCGGAGGAUGAAGUUGUGACACCAAACACGGUGUCCGGCCGGCGUGGUCUUACACUACACUAAAAAAAAAACACCAAACUGUUCGAUUCAAAAAGGGAAACGAUUGUUUAACACGAAUCUAUGUAUUCCCCAUUCUGAUUCAUUAAAUUCAAAGCCAAAACAACAAGGCCACGAGAGAGAGAGAGCCAAAAAAAACAAGUGGUGAAAUGAAACAGGUGUGUGUGUGUGUGUUCCAACCAUGACGAUGUUGACUCAGAUAUAUACGAUGCACUUCCUUCCUCCCAUUGAUGUUAAGGAUUGAUGCUGAAUUAUGGACCCAAAGGAUGGCAACAAAAUCCUUUUCUUCUUAUUGGUCUGUGCUACUCAAGUGUGUGUGAGGGAUUAUGACCUUAAACCAUGGAAUACUCCUCUUCUUGCUUUGUGCUACUGAAGUUGGAACUCGACAAGGCACUAGAAUUUAACGCACCAUCCUAUGAACUAAAAGGUACUUGUCAUUGCCUCAUGCCAAGAAAUCCCAUCCACAGAUGUGUGUCCGUGUGUUCCAGCCAGAUUUUUUUGGAGGAUGAAGUAGAUUCAGUCUAAACGGUUGAUGGAGAGCGUUCUUAAGGUAACAACAUCAAACUAAUUUUUGAAGGAAGACAUUGGUGCCAAGUGAUGGUCGGAGGAGCCUGAUGAUGGCGUUUUCUUCUUCUGAUUUGAUCGACCGCCAAGUACAGGUUGUUUGGUUUUAAUCUAAUUCUGGUAUAUGUUGUGCAGGUCAGAGAGAUGCAUUGAAGAGUGAAGAAGAAGAAGACGUAAGCAGACUGCUGAAGUUACUGUACGUGGGCUCCCAUCAUCUCCUCCAUUGCAAGAUUUGAAGGUCUGAUUGACAACGAAUGUUUUGCUGCAGCAUUUUGUUUUCUACUAUAACAAUGUCUUUGAUGGAUGCAACGACCAAACUGAUAUCGGUGGAGAUCUACACGAUGGAAGGGAUUACAAUCUUGGUCUUGAAGUCAUCGCCGCUGUGGAGUCCGGUAAGAGUGAAAACGAACCCUUACUCUGUCAGCAAUACGUUCUUCGUCCCUGCUAACAGUGGAGAGUUGGUGAGAACCCAACUGCGUCUGGCUAGGGAGAUUUUGGAAUUACUCCUGAACAGCUUUGUCAUAAUGUGGUCAAAGGAUCACAACAACAAGCAGCAAUAUGGACUGGCCUCAAGGAUUGUCAAAUUUGCUCAGAUACUACCAGAGAAAGGCAUCACUGGACCAUUUAUGGUUUCAGGGUGCUUGCCAUGAUCUCACUUUGAUCAUUUUGAUGGUUGUUGCAGUAGCGUCUUAGCACUUGGGAUAAAAAAAACAGAGACGAUUUGUAUGAUGGAGGAAGCAUUGCAUUUGCAGUGAUUAUCUUGGUUGUUGUCGCAGCUGUCAGUGACUACAAAUAGCCUCUCCAGAACCUGAAUGAUUAAAAGUGAAACAUACAUCUGGAGGUGACAAGAGGUGGAAGACGAGUUAUGACAUUGUGAUACAGAUGAGUUUUUGCCAAUCCAGACAGUGUGCGAUUUUGCAACUCUUGUUGGGACAUAUGACGAGAGAAUGCCCCAUAUUCCAGAUCCUAUAUUGCAGCUGAACUGUCAUGAUGCGUCUCUGGCGAUCAAACCAGUGUUUGAUCGUUUCCAAUCAGUCGUGAUUACAUCAGGCACCUUGAGCGCAAUUGAUCUUUAUCCCCGUCUUCUUAGUUUCACUCCUGUUGUUAGUCGAAGCUUUAAGAUGUCAAUGACACGAGACUGCAUCUGCCCUGUGGUUCUAACUCGGGGAAGGAUAUUACUAGCAAGAUUGGAGUAUCUGCGUGAUACAUUUCAAAUAAAGGAAGGUGAUUUCCCAACUUUCGAUGCACUGAGAGGCAAGCAGCUCAAUGUGUAGGGCGAGUAAUCCGGUCAAAGGCUGAUUAUGGGAUGAUGAUAUUUGCAGACAAAAGGUAUAUGCAUUGCAUAAAGUUUCUCUCUCUGAGUCUGGUCAUUUAGGUUCCUUCUCUUUACCAAAUGUGAUUCUUUCUAUACUCUAUCUAGUAUAUUAAGUGUAUGCGGAGAAUAGAAGAUUGUUUCACAGUUCACACUGUUCCUUGAGAAUGUGAAGAAAUGCUUAGGACA